CAGAAUAUAACUUAAUUAAAGUACUUCGCUUACACCGAAUUUAUGCCUAUUAAUCUAGGCUAUUCUGAG
rnacentral:tRNA from 1 species